rnacentral:lncRNA from 1 species
CAGGUGUUGUGGGUGCUGGGCGGGGCCUCUCCGAUAAUGGCAGGGAAAGACUCUGCCUGCGGCCAGGACUGAACUCUAGAGUUUCUCCCCCGGGCCGUGUAGCCAAUCGCUGGAGCUCCACUCAGCCCCAGACCUCUCCCAGGAGAUCUCCGGUAGUCUCGAUCCCCUCCUGGACGAAAACCAGGUCAGGGGAGCCGGCGGCGGCAGCUGGUGGGCCAGCGCGCCGCUUGGGAUUCUCUCCGGGGGGCCCCCAGGCUUUGUGGAUGCUGGACGGGACCUCUCUGCUAAUGGCAGCAUCUUCUAGCAGUCCACAAGUCACAGAAAAGAAGUCAGUUGCGAAUGGAAUGCUGAUUCUUCUCCUGGUUCAUACAAGCCUGGAGAUUCUCAAAAAAAAAAGAAACUGAAGUGGACCAGCUGCUCUGCCAAAGCAAAGUCAUUUCAGAUGUUAAAAAUGAUUAUAGAAGACAAUUUAGGGGAUACAGACAAACAUUAUUUAACACUUCAUGAAGCAGGCAGUCUGUUCCCAAAGGUCCAGAGAACCGCAAAACAGGAUGGAAGGCAGGAAGCUUUCAUAGGAUAAAGAAUAAGGAAGAAAGAAGAGAAAAAUAGAAAAUACCUGGUUGGCUGGGGCCACAUAGUCAAACUUGAUUGGGGUGAGAAGGAGCAAGGACCGUUUCCUCUCCCAGGACCAAGCCUGUGGAACUGGGGCAGAGACACAGCUCACUGGUGGACCUCUUGCUGCACUCAGACGCGUUCUGUCUACCCCUGUGUCUAAGGCUUUGUCCAUGGGUCUGACUUAACUUACUGGGUCCCUCUCCCCUUAAAAUGGG